rnacentral:rRNA from 1 species
UACAGAGGUGGCAAGCGUUGUUCGGAAUUACUGGGCGUAAAGGGCGCGUAGGCGGCCUUCUAAGUCAGACGUGAAAUCCCCCGGCUUAACCUGGGAACUGCGUCUGAUACUGGGAGGCUUGAGUAUGGGAGAGGGAUGUAGAAUUCCAGGUGUAGCGGUGAAAUGCGUAGAUAUCUGGAGGAAUACCGGUGGCGAAGGCGGCAUCCUGGACCGACACUGACGCUGAGGAGCGAAAGCCAGGGGAGCAAACGGG